rnacentral:rRNA from 1 species
UACGAACUGUGCAAACGUUAUUCGGAAUCACUGGGCUUACAGGGUGCGUAGGCGGCUUGCUAAGUAGGGUGUGAAAGCCCCCGGCUUAACCGGGGAAUGGCGCCCUAAACUGGCGAGCUGGAGUGAGAUAGGGGUGUGCGGAACUUCCGGUGGAGCGGUGAAAUGUGUUGAUAUCGGAAGGAACGCCGGUGGCGAAAGCGGCACACUGGAUCUCAACUGACGCUGAGGCACGAAAGCGUGGGGAGCAAACAGG